rnacentral:rRNA from 1 species
ACGCUCGACACCUACGGAGGCAGCAGUGGGGAAUAUUGCACAAUGGGGGAAACCCUGAUGCAGCGAUGCCGCGUGAAGGAAGAAGUAUCUCGGUAUGUAAACUUCUAUCAGCAGGGAAGAAAAUGACGGUACCUGACUAAGAAGCCCCGGCUAACUACGUGCCAGCACGCCGAGGUAAUCUGAGGCCGGGCGUCGGACGAAGGC